CUGCCACAAGACUUUGCUAUCUUUGUUAUCUACGCUUUCUUGCUUUUACUGUUUCUCUGCAGGGCUUUAGCUUUUCACUAACUGGCAGAUUUAGGUCACAGACAUUUGUGUGUGUGUGUGUGUGUGUGUGUGUGUUUAUGGUGUGAAGUGUGCCAGGGCUAGCCAACUAAGAGGCCUUUGUCUUGGGAGGCCUGUAGAGUUGUCUUGCCAGGGAAAUGGGUCACUUUCAUCAAUUUAAAGAAAAACAACGAAGAAAUUAUUAGAGCAAAAAACACUGGCUACCGGCUUUGCUGAUUCAGCAACAGAUCUUUGUCCCCCCAUAAAAUCUUGUGUUUUUUCUUCUCAACAGCAGAGUAAACACAGUAAACACAGCCUUUUUACUACCGCAUUCUCAAUAUCUACAUAUAUAACAACAGUAGCACCUUCCGCACAGUGCAAUAAUACAGUGACACACCCUGCAGUUAUCAGUUAUCAGCAGAGAGCAGACGCAGCCUUCAGAACAGACACUCCAACAAAGAACCAGAAGCAACAUAUCUUCCAUUCAUGAGCAGCUUCAACUGCUUGGAUAUCUCAGACAGCCCAACUAAGCUCUCUCUUAGCUGGACCCUCUAUUUUAUACCCAUUCCCCUCCCUCCAGGUCUGAGGGGCCCUCCCAAAAGGUCAAGAAAGCGGAUGGAGGCGGCUUCUGCACCUAAACCAAUCCCUCCUUGAGGAUCCCUGUGUGUGGAAGGGGCUUGAUAUAAGAAUCCCAGCCUCUGGCUUGUGUGGGUAUAUUCCCUUCCACAAGCCUCUCUGGCUCAUAGCAUGCAGGAAGCAGCUGACCUACUCAUCUAACAAAACACAGCUGCUGCUGUUCACUGAGGACUUCUGUGCACCAUGGAUUGAAGACGCUAAAGGUGCCAGCCCCACUGAAAAAGUGAAGCCUGUGUUCAGUUUGACACAAAGUCAAGUGUCCAUCUGGGUGACCACAUCCUCACACCAAGGAAUUCCUGGACAGGAGACCAGUAAAUGGGUAGUGAAUGUGGUUUUGAAGAGUCCAGUACGACCUCCUCCAAACAGCUAAUGCAAGCUGACCUGUAGGAAGUCUAGUAGACCCUCUUCAUAUGGCUGAAAAGACUCCACGCAGUGUUACAGAGAGAGAGAGAGAGACUCUGCUAUUCCUCCUUCAGGACAGUGGUUAAAGGCUUUGGACAUGGAUGAGUUCCAGUUAUAUCCUAAAUGUUAAAUGCACUUCUUCAAUGCAUCAAAGGAAAAAUUGUCCAAACAACUUGCAGCUAAGUUUGUCCACAAUGCAUUCCCACCCUACCUACCUUUCAUUUUCCAUGCUUUCCCCAGAGGCUACCAUGUAACAUACUUGUUUUAAAAGUAUGGCUUAAAGAGACUGAACAGUAGAGGCUCUCAGCUUCUGGCACUUUCACCCAGCUUUCUAAAGUGGACCUGUUGCCAAGCACAGAGGAAGAGGGAUGGAAAGAAACGAAGGACAGUUUCAUCAGAGCACAAAAUAGCCUUUUCCAUCUCUCCAUCUAUCGGCCCUCAGUGACCCGGAAAAUCUGCAUGCACACGGGAAAAAGAAGGCACUUUGAAUUAGAGAGCUGUACAAAUAAUCACCCUGCUUUAAUAAGUAAUGUCUGUACUGUCUGAGCUCCUUUUG
rnacentral:lncRNA from 1 species